rnacentral:rRNA from 1 species
UACAGAGGGGGCAAGCGUUGUUCGGAAUUACUGGGCGUAAAGGGCGCGUAGGCGGCCUUCUAAGUCGAACGUGAAAUCCCCGGGCUCAACCCGGGAACUGCGUCCGAUACUGGAAGGCUUGAAUCCGGGAGAGGGAUGUGGAAUUCCAGGUGUAGCGGUGAAAUGCGUAGAUAUCUGGAGGAACACCGGUGGCGAAGGCGGCGUUCUGGACUGCAACUGACACUGAGAAACGAAAGCCAGGGGAGCAAACGGG